UCAAGUAAUUAAGUGCAUGUGGUGGAUGCCUUGGCAGUCAGAGGCGAUGAAAGACGUGAUAGCCUGCGAAAAGCUCCGGGGAGGCGGCAAAUAUCCUUUGAUCCGGAGAUGUCUGAAUGGGGGAACCCACCUACUUUAAGGUAGGUAUUGCAACAUGAAUACAUAGUGUUGCAAGGCGAACGAGGGGAAGUGAAACAUCUCAGUACCCUUAGGAAAAGAAAUCAAUUGAGAUUCCCUCAGUAGCGGCGAGCGAACGGGAUCAGCCCAUUAAGUUAUGUGUGUUUUAGUGGAACGCUCUGGGAAGUGCGAACGUAGAGGGUGAUAUUCCCGUACACGAAAGGGCACACAUAAUGAUGACGAGUAGGGCGAGGCACGUGAAACCUUGUCUGAAUAUGGGGACCAUCCUCCAAGGCUAAAUACUCCUGACUGACCGAUAGUGAACCAGUACCGUGAGGGAAAGGCGAAAAGAACCCCUGUGAGGGAGUGAAAUAGAUCCUGAAACCGCAUGCAUACAAGCAGUGGGAGCACCUUCGUGGUGUGACUGCGUACCUUUUAUAAUGGGUCAGCGACUUAUAUUCAGUAGCGAGGUUAACCGUAUAGGGAGCCGUAGAGAAAUCGAGUCUUAAUAGGGCGUUUAGUUGCUGGGUAUAGACCCGAAACCAGGCGAUCUAUCCAUGAGCAGGUUGAAGGUUGGGUAACACUAACUGGAGGACCGAACCCACUGUCGUUGAAAAGCCAGGGGAUGACUUGUGGAUAGGGGUGAAAGGCUAAUCAAGCCUGGUGAUAGCUGGUUCUCCCCGAAAGCUAUUUAGGUAGCGCCUCGGACGAAUACCAUAGGGGGUAGAGCACUGUUUCGGCUAGGGGGUCAUCCCGACUUACCAAACCGAUGCAAACUCCGAAUACCUAUGAGUACUAUCCGGGAGACAGACUGCGGGUGCUAACGUCCGUAGUCAAGAGGAAAACAAUCCAGACCGCCAGCUAAGGCCCCAAAAUCAUAGUUAAGUGGGAAACGAUGUGGGAAGGCAUAGACAGCUAGGAGGUUGGCUUAGAAGCAGCCACCCUUUAAAGAAAGCGUAAUAGCUCACUAGUCGAGUCGGCCUGCGCGGAAGAUGUAACGGGGCUAAAACUAUGUGCCGAAGCUGCGGAUGUAUACUUUGUAUACGUGGUAGGGGAGCGUUCUGUAAGCCGAUGAAGGUGUGUUGAGAAGCAUGCUGGAGGUAUCAGAAGUGCGAAUGCUGACGUGAGUAACGACAAAACGGGUGAAAAACCCGUUCGCCGAAAGACCAAGGGUUCCAGUCCAACGUUAAUCGGGGCUGGGUGAGUCGACCCCUAAGGCGAGGCCGAAAGGCGUAGUCGAUGGGAAAAUGGUUAAUAUUCCAUUACUUCUGUGUAAUGCGAUGAGAGGACGGAGAAGGCUAAAUCAGCCUGGCGUUGGUUGUCCAGGUGAAAGGAUGUAGGCAUGUAUCUUAGGCAAAUCCGGGGUACUCUAUGCUGAGAUCUGAUAGCAAGCUGUACUUGUACAGCGAAGUGGUUGAUGCCAUGCUUCCAGGAAAAGUCUCUAAGCUUCAGUUACACAGGAAUCGUACCCGAAACCGACACAGGUGGUCAGGUCGAGUAGACCAAGGCGCUUGAGAGAACUCUGCUGAAGGAACUAGGCAAAAUGGUACCGUAACUUCGGGAGAAGGUACGCUGUUGUUGGUGAUGGAACUCGCUUCCUGAGCUGACGACAGCCGCAGAAACCAGGCCGCUGCAACUGUUUAUUAAAAAACAUAGCACUCUGCAAACACGAAAGUGGACGUAUAGGGUGUGAUGCCUGCCCGGUGCUGGAAGGUUAAUUGAUGGGGUUAGCGUAAGCGAAGCUCUUGAUCGAAGCCCCAGUAAACGGCGGCCGUAACUAUAACGGUCCUAAGGUAGCGAAAUUCCUUGUCGGGUAAGUUCCGACCUGCACGAAUGGCAUAAUGAUGGCGGCGCUGUCUCCAGCAGAGGCUCAGUGAAAUCGAAAUCGCUGUGAAGAUGCAGUGUACCCGCGGCUAGACGGAAAGACCCCGUGAACCUUUACUGCAGCUUGACACUGAACUUUGACCUUACUUGUGUAGGAUAGGUGGGAGGCUUUGAAGCUGGAACGCUAGUUCCAGUGGAGCCGUCCUUUGAAAUACCACCCUGGUAAUGUUGAGGUUCUAACUCUGUCCCGUGAUCCGGGACGAGGACCGUGUCUGGUGGGUAGUUUGACUGGGGCGGUCUCCUCCUAAAGAGUAACGGAGGAGUACGAAGGUGCGCUCAGCGUGGUCGGAAAUCACGCGUAGAGUAUAAAGGCAAAAGCGCGCUUAACUGCGAGACCCACAAGUCGAGCAGGUACGAAAGUAGGUCUUAGUGAUCCGGUGGUUCUGUAUGGAAGGGCCAUCGCUCAACGGAUAAAAGGUACUCUGGGGAUAACAGGCUGAUACCGCCCAAGAGUUCAUAUCGACGGCGGUGUUUGGCACCUCGAUGUCGGCUCAUCUCAUCCUGGGGCUGAAGCAGGUCCCAAGGGUAUGGCUGUUCGCCAUUUAAAGAGGUACGCGAGCUGGGUUUAGAACGUCGUGAGACAGUUCGGUCCCUAUCUACCGUGGGCGCUGGAAAUUUGAGAGGAUCUGCUCCUAGUACGAGAGGACCAGAGUGGACGAACCUCUGGUGUACCGGUUGUGACGCCAGUCGCAUCGCCGGGUAGCUAUGUUCGGAAGGGAUAACCGCUGAAAGCAUCUAAGCGGGAAGCCUACCUCAAGAUAAGAUUUCCCUAGGACUUUAUGUCCUCUAAAGAGCCGUUCGAGACUAGGACGUUGAUAGGUUGGAUGUGGAAGCAUAGUGAUAUGUGAAGCUGACCAAUACUAAUUGCUCGUGAGGCUUGACUA
rnacentral:rRNA from 1 species